UCCAGUUGAUCCUGCUGGAGGGUACUUCUAUCGGAGUCCGACUUAGACAUGCAAGUCGAAGGGUAACCUUGGCGAACGGCUCAGUAACACGUAGGCAACCUGCCCUGGAGACAGGCAUAUCCUCGGGAAACUGAGGGUAAUACCUGAUAGUGUAAGACUACUGGAACGUGUCUUACCUCAAAGGCCUCACGGCGCUUCAGGAUGGGCCUGCGGCGGAUUAGGUAGUUGGUGAGGUAACGGCUCACCAAGCCGAUAAUCCGAACGGGCAGUGGGAGUUGUAGCCCGGAGAAGGGGACUGAGACAAGGCCCCUAGCCCUACGGGGUGCAGCAGUUACGAAACCUUCGCAAUGCGCGAAAGCGUGACGAGGGGACUCCGAGUGACUCAGCUUUACCGUUGAGUCUUUUGCUAAGUGUAAAUAGCUUGGAGAAUAAGGGCUGGGAAAGACCCGUGCCGGCCGCCGCGGUAAUACGGGCAGCCCAAGCGGUACCCACGAAUACUGGGCUUAAAGCGUUCGUAGCCGGCUUCGUAAGUCUCUAGUGAAAGCCCGUGGCUCAACCACGGGAAGGGCUAGGGAUACUGCGAGGCUUGGAGGCGGGAAAGGUCAGAGGUAUUCCAGGGGUAGCGGUUAAAUGUUAUAAUCCUUGGAAGACCACCGGUAGCGAAGGCGUCUGACCGGAACGCGCUCGACGGUGAGGAACGAAGGCUAGGGGAGCGACCCGGAUUAGAUACCCGGUUAGUCCUAGCAGUAAAGGAUGCAGACUAGGUGUCGUGCGGCCCUCGAGGCUUUGCGGUGCCGAAGGGAAACCAUUAAGCCUGCCGCCUGGGGAGUACGGUUGCAAGACUGAAACUUAAAGGAAUUGGCGGGGGAGCACCACAACGGGUGGAGAUUGCGGUUUAAUUGGAUACAACGCCGGACAUCUCACCGGGGGCAACGGCAGAAUGAAGGUCAGUCUGAAGGGCUUACUAGACAAGCCGAAGGGUGGUGCAUGGCCAUCGUCAGCUCGUGCUGUGAAGUGUCCUCUUAAGUGAGGUAACGAGCGAGACCCAUGCCUUUAGUUACCAGUCCCCUUUCAUGAGGGGAGGCACUCUAAAGGGACCGCCAGUGCUAAACUGGAGGAAGGAAUGGGCGACGGUAGGUCCGUAUGCCCCUAAUCUCCCGGGCUACACGUGAUCUACAUUGCCGGGCACAAUGGGAUGCAACUCCGAAAGGGGAAGCCAAUCCCUUAAAACCCGGCCAAGUUUGGAUCGAGGGCUGAAAUUCGCCCUCGUGAAAAUGGAAUCCGUAGUAAUCGCGAGUCACUAUCUCGCGGUGAAUAAGUCCCUGCUCCUUGCACACACCGCCUGCCAAGCCAACCAAGCGAGGCUUUGACGAGGCCCUGCCCUCUGGACGGGGUCGAGUCGAGGUUUUGUGAGGCGGGUUAAGGCAUAACAAGGUA
rnacentral:rRNA from 1 species